CCUACGGGGUGCAGCAGUCGAGAAUCAUUCACAAUGGGGGAAACCCUGAUGGUGCGACGCCGCGUGGGGGAAUGAAGGUCUUCGGAUUGUAAACCCCUGUCAUGUGGGAGCAAAUUAAAAAGAUAGUACCACAAGAGGAAGAGACGGCUAACUCUGUGCCAGCAGCCGCGGUAAUACAGAGGUCUCAAGCGUUGUUCGGAAUCACUGGGCGUAAGGCGUGCGUAGGCUGUUUCGUAAGUCGUGUGUGAAAGGCGCGGGCUCAACCCGCGGACGGCACAUGAUACUGCGAGACUAGAGUAAUGGAGGGGGAACCGGAAUUCUCGGGGUAGCAGUGAAAUGCGUAGAUAUCGAGAGGAACACUCGUGGCGAAGGCGGGUUCCUGGACAUUAACUGACGCUGAGGCACGAAGGCCAGGGGAGCGAAAGGGAUUAGAUACCCUAGUAGUC
rnacentral:rRNA from 1 species